GACGGAGGGUGCUAGCGUUGUUCGGAAUCACUGGGCGUAAAGGGCGCGUAGGCGGCCGCCCGCGUCGGACGUGAAAGCCCGGGGCUCAACCCCGGAACGGCGUCCGAUACGGGGGCGCUCGAGGCCGGGAGAGGGGGGUGGAAUACCCAGUGUAGAGGUGAAAUUCGUAGAUAUUGGGUGGAACACCGGUGGCGAAAGCGGCCCCCUGGCCCGGUACUGACGCUGAGGCGCGAAAGCGUGGGGAGCAAACAGG
rnacentral:rRNA from 1 species